GACGAACGCUGGCGGCGUGCUUAACACAUGCAAGUCGAACGGAAAGGCCCUGCUUUUGUGGGGUGCUCGAGUGGCGAACGGGUGCGUAACACGUGAGUAACCUGCCCUUGACUUUGGGAUAACUUCAGGAAACUGGGGCUAAUACCGGAUAGGAGCUCCUGCUGCAUGGUGGGGGUUGGAAAGUUUCGGCGGUUGGGGAUGGACUCGCGGCUUAUCAGCUUGUUGGUGGGGUAGUGGCUUACCAAGGCUUUGACGGGUAGCCGGCCUGAGAGGGUGACCGGCCACAUUGGGACUGAGAUACGGCCCAGACUGCUACGGGAGGCAGCAGUGGGGAAUAUUGCACAAUGGGCGGAAGCCUGAUGCAGCAACGCCGCGUGCGGGAUGACGGCCUUCGGGUUGUAAACCGCUUUCGCCUGUGACGAAGCGUGAGUGACGGUAAUGGGUAAAGAAGCACCGGCUAACUACGUG
rnacentral:rRNA from 1 species